rnacentral:rRNA from 1 species
GGCGGACGGGUGAGUAAUGCCUAGGAAUCUGCCUGAUAGUGGGGGACAACGUUUCGAAAGGAACGCUAAUACCGCAUACGUCCUACGGGAGAAAGCAGGGGACCUUCGGGCCUUGCGCUAUCAGAUGAGCCUAGGUCGGAUUAGCUAGUUGGUGAGGUAACGGCUCACCAAGGCGACGAUCCGUAACUGGUCUGAGAGGAUGAUCAGUCACACUGGAACUGAGACACGGUCCAGACUCCUACGGGAGGCAGCAGUGGGGAAUAUUGGACAAUGGGCGAAAGCCUGAUCCAGCCAUGCCGCGUGUGUGAAGAAGGUCUUCGGAUUGUAAAGCACUUUAAGUUGGGAGGAAGGGCAUUAACCUAAUACGUUAGUGUUUUGACGUUACCGACAGAAUAAGCACCGGCUAACUUCGUGCCAGCAGCCGCGGUAAUACGAAGGGUGCAAGCGUUAAUCGGAAUUACUGGGCGUAAAGCGCGCGUAGGUGGUUUGUUAAGUUGAAUGUGAAAGCCCCGGGCUCAACCUGGGAACUGCAUCCAAAACUGGCAAGCUAGAGUAUGGCAGAGGGUGGUGGAAUUUCCUGUGUAGCGGUGAAAUGCGUAGAUAUAGGAAGGAACACCAGUGGCGAAGGCGACCACCUGGGCUAAUACUGACACUGAGGUGCGAAAGCGUGGGGAGCAAAC